AAACAUGCCUUUGAAUUGGAAAGCCAGAACUUUUUUUGCAAAAUAAUUCAAAAAGUUUGUUGAACCUUAAACCUUUCCUGAUGACUCUUUCCUUCUGAACUUCACUCGUUAAAAGUUGC
ensembl:misc_RNA Gm56430 predicted gene, 27803